rnacentral:lncRNA from 1 species
GUUCAAAAGCAGUUAGCUCGGGUGGUUCCUGUGCUUCGGCUUCAGGUCCCCGAACUAGCUGUUCAAAUUACACCAGAGGCCAGCCUCGAUAGUAGAGAAGGGUUACAGAAUCCAGUUCGGUUCUCGUCCCCCACGCUACAACGGGGUGUUGCUCACAGUAGUGCAUCCCGAGCAGGCUCUGGUCAUGGAGCAAGAAGUGAAAUCUCUUUUAGCGAAAAAUGCUAUAGAGCAGGUGUAUCCUCCCGACAGGGCAUCGGUUUUUACAGCAGUUAUUUCAUUGUUCCAAAAAAGGGCUGCAUCCCAUUUUAGAUCUUCGUCUGUUGAAUCGUACAGUUCUGAAAUUAAAAUUCAAGAUGCUGACACUCAAACAGAUCGUGACUCAAAUCAGAUCCGAGGACUGGUUCGUCACAAUAGACUUAAAAGAUGCGUACUUCCAUAUCUCCAUCCUCCCUCAGCACAGGAAGUUCCUAAGGUUUUCUUUCGGGGGCAAAGAAUACCAAUAUCGGGUACUUCACUUCGGUCUAGCUCUCUCACCCCGCACAUUCACGAAAUGCGUAGAUGCAGCUCUGGCCCCGCUCAGGCUGCAGGGCAUACGUAUUCUGAAUUACCUGGACGACUGGUUGAUUUUAGCGGAAUCAGAACAGUUGGCAGUUCGGCAUCGAGAUGUCGUCCUCGCUCAUUUGCAAAAGUUGGGUUGGAGGCUCAAUACCAAGAAGAGUGUGCUAUGUCCAUUACAGAGGACCACUUUUCUUGGGGUGGUAUGGGAUUCGGUCACGAUGUGAGCCGCUCUUUCGCCCGCUCGUGUAGCCAACAUCCUCACAGCCACAUCAGAGCUAAAGCUAGGCCAGUGACGCACUGUAAACAGUUCGAGAGAUUGUUGGGGUCUCAUGGCAGCAGCGUCCAAUGUGAUCCCCUUUGGCCUUUUGGGCAUGAGACCUUUACAGUGGUGGCUCAGGACCUGAGGGUUCUCCCCGAGGGGAAACCCACUUCGUACGAUCAAGA